GUCUCCAUCUUAACGUUCUUGGAGGGGUUGGAAGUUAAUGGAGCGGCAGCCGCGUUCGUGUCCGGCUGGCCGGGGGGAGGGGAGAGGGAUCGCCCUCCCGACCCCAGUGAGAACUUUUUGGCCGCUUUGGAACGUGGGUGGAUUGCAAACGUGUUGGGCAAGACGCCCUUUUUUGCCGAAAUCAGUUUAACUUGUCGUAAAUAACCUGUGUAUCUUUUUGGGUGUGUAGUUUGGCUCUGCUGCCUCUUAGCAGCAGUGUGUGAUUACGGCGCGACAUGGAGAUCCGGGUCUGUGACGUUGCGUUUCGCCAACAAAACAGUUGAAUAGGCGAGUUUGCUGAAAGGUGCGAUCGUUGCAUCGUAAGCACCUUUAAGCGGUGCUUAAGUCAUUCCCUUUGAAUUCGGUACGAUUUACACCCUACAAGCAAGUGGGGUUAGAAUUGCAGUCUAAACUGUUAUUAAUCUCAGGGCGAUACCACAUACCCUCCCAACAUUUCUCUGAUGAAAAUAGGGACAUCCUAUUCUCCAUCAGGAAGCUUUUCGUGCGUUUGAUCGCCUGCACCACAUAAGACGUCAUAUACACAUUGACAUUGGUGGUUCUGCCUCACCUACCUCACAGGGUUGUUGUAAAGAAAAAAAUGUGCGAGAGAAGGGAUCGUGUGCAACAUCUUCCACAGAUGAAUGGAAUGAAAUAAAGUUUUAGCAGUAAGCUGCUUUGAGUCCCUUACAGAGGAAAAGGAGAAGCAGCUGACUGCAGGAAACUUUUGCCAUUGGAUUACUGUAAACCUCAUGCCCUCAGGAUUCUCACCACCAGAAUUUUACUGGAAUGACUGCUUUGGAUCACUGAUGAACAAAUAUUAACCCUGCACCUAAAAAUAUUUCUGAAAUAAAGAGGAAAACACCCCUUU